CCUACGGGGGGCAGCAGUGGGGAAUAUUGGACAAUGGGGGGAACCCUGAUCCAGCCAUGCCGCGUGUGUGAAGGAGGCCCUCGGGUUGUAAAGCACUUUCAGUGAGGAAGAACGCCUGGUGGUUAAUACCCAUCAGGAAAGACAUCACUCACAGAAGAAGCACCGGCUAACUCCGUGCCAGCAGCCGCGGUAAUACGGAGGGUGCGAGCGUUAAUCGGAAUUACUGGGCGUAAAGCGCGCGUAGGUGGCUUGAUAAGCCGGUUGUGAAAGCCCCGGGCUCAACCUGGGAACGGCAUCCGGAACUGUCAAGCUAGAGUGCAGGAGAGGAAGGUAGAAUUCCCGGUGUAGCGGUGAAAUGCGUAGAGAUCGGGAGGAAUACCAGUGGCGAAGGCGGCCUUCUGGACUGACACUGACACUGAGGUGCGAAAGCGUGGGUAGCAAACAGGAUUAGAUACCCGAGUAGUC
rnacentral:rRNA from 1 species